AGAAAGUGUCCACCAGUUACACUGUAUUUCUGCUGUGCAACCAACUUGGAAGUCCUGGGUCAACCUGUGUUAUCCAUGCAUGUGGAAAUGUAAAGAAUAUGAUCUUCUUCAUAUUCAAGAAGAUCUGAACUUCUAAAACAUUACAAACUUGAUCAUCUCAGAGCACCAUGGCAGACAUGGCACCUGUUUGAUUGCUGAUCGUUUUAAGUGAAGACAACAGCGUAAGAAUGGAGCUGCACAAAGGGAUUCCAAACUCAUUGGAAGAGCUUAUUGAUGAGGUUAAGAAUGCGUGUGGAUUAGAGGGACACACAAGGCUGCAGUAUAAGGACACCGAUUUUGGAAACAUAUUUGUGAAUCUGACCUCUACAUCUGUGAUUAGGGAUCUUAAAUUCUCAAAGUUGUUCAGUUAGACCCUGAUACCACAACUGUUGUCUUGUACCCGGUUGAUCCCUCAAUAAGUAUCAACACUUCUGUAAGUGGCCUGGACAGUGAUGACUCCUCUGUUUCUGCACAUACAGAUGACACAGUGUUGCUUAGCAGCCCCUCACCAGACUCACUAAGGACACAGCAGUGGCCACAAGUGUUCCAAAUCCCAAACUUCUCCUAUGACACAAAAUGCCAACUGCAGAAGGCAAAUGUGGAGUACAUGAAAAGCCAAACAAAACUGACUCCUAGUUCAAAAAUGUUGUCAGACAUAGUGGAGAAAUUAGCUGAAAGUGUGUAUGCAUACACACCAUAUCCUGAAGAUGGUCACUACAGCGAUGUUGCUGAGGCACUCACAAGAAAGCACCCCUGCCUUAGAGAGCCAAGAUCUUUCAGUCAGAGCUAUGGGUGGAAACAGAGGCUCAAGAUAAAAAUGGCCAACUACCGGACCCAACUCAAGGCACAUGGCACGUCUGCUGAGCUCACAGUGAAUUCUUUAAAAGCAAAAAUUCCAGGGGAUGCCUUUCCGGCAUAGAAUGUGAAGAGUCCUAGAUGAGCUGAGGUCAACCAUUUUCCAUCUUUUCCAAUUGGUGAGACUACAGAAAGCUUGGAACAAGAGAGGAUUUCCUUUUUGGCAGAAAUGCAGAAAAGAAACAACCAGCAAACAGUAAAAGCAAAGAUGGCAAAGACAUUUGGAUACCGAAGACAGGAAAUCGUACAGAAGCCAGCCAACCGCUGAAGAAAUUUUGGUGAGAUGGCCAGCACUUCUCCUAAUGGAAGAGAUCAAUGCUGAGUUCCUGCGAAUUCCAACAGUUCCUUUGGAGGCUACGUUUUUGGCACUCCACCAAACUGCUGGAGGUCAUUAGGAGGAAGGGAGGACGUGUGAAAGAGCAGACCUCCAGGAUCUUACAAGUUGUAGAUGAGACUGUUGACAUCACCAUCAAAAGAGAAGCUGUCCUUAAAGCUCUGAUGAUCUACCUGGGUGAGCCUGUUGAGCAUCUUUUUAAAGAGUACCAGGAUGAGCAGGAGGAUGACCAACUGCAGCUGGAAACCAUGGCGAU